rnacentral:rRNA from 1 species
UACAGAGGUGGCAAGCGUUGUUCCGGAAUUACUGGGCGUAAAGGGCGCCGUAGGCGGCCUUCUAAGUCAGACGUGAAAUCCCCCGGCUUAACCUGGGAACUGCGUCUGAUACUGGGAGGCUUGAGUAUGGGAGAGGGAUGUAGAAUUCCAGGUGUAGCGGUGAAAUGCGUAGAUAUCUGGAGGAACACCGGUGGCGAAGGCGGCAUCCUGGACCGGCAUUGACGCUGAGGAGCGAAAGCCAGGGGAGCAAACGGG